UACGUAGGGUGCGAGCGUUAAUCGGAAUUACUGGGCGUAAAGCGUACGCAGGCGGCUGCGCAAGACAGGGGUGAAAUCCCCGGGCCUAACCUGGGAACUGCACUUGUGACUGCGCGGCUAGAGUCCGUAAGAGGGGGGUGGAAUUCCACGUGUAGCAGUGAAAUGCGUAGAGAUGUGGAGGAACACCGAUGGCGAAGGCAGCCCCCUGGGAUGAGACUGACGCUCAGGUACGAAAGCGUGGGGAGCACACAGG
rnacentral:rRNA from 1 species